rnacentral:rRNA from 1 species
AUGGGGAUACAUGAAGAUGGAGGCAAUUUCUUCCUGUUCAGUGAUGCAAGUGUAUAUGUACAGCUGAAUAAAGAUGGUACUAUCACUGCAGCUAAACUUGGGGAAUGUGGAUCUGUGUUGUGGUCUGCUCAUGCUCCACAUAAUCAUAAGAUUCAUAGUGUUGUUAUCCUGACAGUGAUAGUUGUGUUAACCCUCCUCCUCACUGCUCUAGUUCUUUUGUGGAUAAUUCAGAAGAAGUCGGUUAUGGAUAGACCGGGGAAUUCGAACAGAAGCCUCACGAUCUUCUCGAACGCACAAAUAAAGAAGGCUACCAGAAAUUUCUCGGUAAAGCUUGGAGAAGGAGGCUUUGGCUGUGUUUUCAAGGGAACAUUGCAAGGCUCCACUUUGGUGGCUGUCAAGAAGCAAAAAGACUUUGGACAAGGGGAGAAGCAAUUCCGAGCGGAAGUGCAGACGAUUGGAAUGAUCCAACACAUCAAUGUUGUUCGUUUAUUUGGAUUUUGCGCCGAAGGAAGUAAAAGGCUGCUGGUGUAUGAGUACAUGGAGAAUGGAUCUUUGAGUUCUCAUCUGUUUUCGAAAAGCCCGGCAACUUUGGUCUGGGAGCUCCGGUACCGCAUAGGACUUGGAACUGCAAGAGGCUUGGCUUACCUGCAUGAGGGAUGCACGGAUUGCAUCAUACACUGCGGCAUGAAGCCGGACAAUGUACUCCUUGACGCAGAUUUCUGUCCCAAGGUUGCAGACUUCGGCAUGGCCAAACUUCUUGGCCGGGAUUUUAGCAGGGCAUUGACAACGAUGCGUGGGACCAUCGGAUACCUUGCGCCGGAGUGGAUCUCAGGGCUACCGAUCACACAUAAGGCUGAUGUCUACAGCUACGGAAUGAUGCUACUUGAAAUCGUAUCAGGGCGAAGGAAUGCGGAGAAAAUCAAACAGGGGAGGUUUACUUACUUUCCCAUCUUUGCUGCAGUGAAGGUGAAUGAAGGAGAUGUUAUGUGCCUGCUGGAUAGCAGGUUGGAAGACGAUGUGGAUGUGGAUGUGGAGCAGCUGAUGAGGGUUUGCAGAACUGCAUGCUGGUGCAUUCAAGAUGCUGAAGAUCAUAGGCCGAUGAUGGGGCAAGUUGUUCAGAUGCUACAAGGCGUUCUGGAUGUCCAGCUUGGAAGCAGGUGGACAUUGAAAAGGAUGGAGAUCACAAGAUCACAGCACAAAAAUAAUCACGCAAAGCAAACAAGGAUGAUCAUGAUGCAUGACACAACAAAAUGA